AAUAAGCGGAGGAAAAGAAACUAACAAGGAUUCCCCUAGUACUGCGAGUGAAGCGGGAAAAGCUCAAAUUUAAAAUCUGGCGGUCUUUGGCUGUCCGAGUUGUAGUCUGGAGAAGUGCUUUCCGCGCUGGACCGUGUACAAGUCUCUUGGAACAGAGCGUCAUAGAGGGUGAGAAUCCCGUCUUUGACACGGACUACCAGUGCUUUGUGAUGCGCUCUCAAAGAGUCGAGUUGUUUGGGAAUGCAGCUCAAAAUGGGUGGUAAAUUCCAUCUAAAGCUAAAUAUUGGCGAGAGACCGAUAGCGAACAAGUACCGUGAGGGAAAGAUGAAAAGCACUUUGGAAAGAGAGUUAAACAGUACGUGAAAUUGCUGAAAGGGAAACACUUGAAGUCAGUCGCAUUGGCCAGAACUCAGCCUUGCUUUUGCUUGGUGCACUUUCUGGUUGAUGGGCCAGCAUCAAUUUUGACCGUCGGAUAAAGGCCAGGGGAAUGUGGCACCUUCGGGUGUGUUAUAGCCCUUGGUCACAUACGACGGUUGGGAUUGAGGAUCUCAGCACGCCUUUAUGGCCGGGGUUCGCCCACGUUCGUGCUUAGGAUGCUGGCAUAAUGGCUUUAAAUGACCCGUCUUGAAACACGGACCAAGGAGUCUAACAUUCUUGCGAGUGUUUGGGUGGUAAACCCGAGCGCGUAAUGAAAGUGAAAGUUGAGAUCCCUGUCGUGGGGAGCAUCGACGCCCGGACCUGACCUUCUGUGACGGCUCCGAGGUAGAGCAAGUAUGCUGGGACCCGAAAGAUGGUGAACUAUGCCUGAAUAGGGUGAAGCCAGAGGAAACUCUGGUGGAGGCUCGUAGCGAUUCUGACGUGCAAAUCGAUCGUCAAAUUUGGGUAUAGGGGCGAAAGACUAAUCGAACCAUCUAGUAGCUGGUUCCU
rnacentral:rRNA from 1 species